rnacentral:rRNA from 1 species
CGAGCGGGGACGGGUUAAGUANGUCUGGGAAACUGCCUGAUGGAGGGGGAUAACUACUGAAACGGUAGCUAAUACCGCAUAACGUCGCAAGACCAAAGAGGGGGACCUUCGGGCCUCUUGCCAUCAGAUGUGCCCAGAUGGGAUUAGCUAGUAGUGGGGUAACGGCUCACCUAGCGACGAUCCCUAGCUGGUCUGAGAGGAUGACCAGCCACACUGGAACUGAGACACGGUCCAGACUCCUACGGGAGGCAGCAGUGGGGAAUAUUGCACAAUGGGCGCAAGCCUGAUGCAGCCAUGCCGCGUGUAUGAAGAAGGCCUUCGGGUUGUAAAGUACUUUCAGCGGGGAGGAAGGUGUUGUGGUUAAUAACCACAGCAAUUGACGUUACCCGCAAAAAGCACCGGCUAACUCCGUGCCACAGCCGCGGUAAUACGGAGGGUGCAAGCGUUAAUCGAAUUACUGGGCGUAAAAGCGCACGCAGGCGGUCUGUCCAAGUUCGGAUGUGAAAUCCCCGGGCUCAACCUGGGGAACUGCAUUUCGAAACUUGGGCAGGGCUAAAAGUCUUUGUAAAGGGGGGUUAAAAAUUCCAGGUUUUAGGGUAA